CACACUAUCAUUAACUGAAUCCAUAGGUUAAUGAGGCGAACCGGGGGAACUGAAACAUCUAAGUACCCCGAGGAAAAGAAAUCAACCGAGAUUCCCCCAGUAGCGGCGAGCGAACGGGGAGGAGCCCAGAGCCUGAAUCAGUGUGUGUGUUAGUGGAAGCGUCUGGAAAGGCGCGCGAUACAGGGUGACAGCCCCGUACACAAAAAUGCACAUACUGUGAGCUCGAUGAGUAGGGCGGGACACGUGGUAUCCUGUCUGAAUAUGGGGGGACCAUCCUCCAAGGCUAAAUACUCCUGACUGACCGAUAGUGAACCAGUACCGUGAGGGAAAGGCGAAAAGAACCCCGGCGAGGGGAGUGAAAAAGAACCUGAAACCGUGUACGUACAAGCAGUGGGAGCCUCUUUUAUGGGGUGACUGCGUACCUUUUGUAUAAUGGGUCAGCGACUUAUAUUCUGUAGCAAGGUUAACCGAAUAGGGGAGCCGAAGGGAAACCGAGUCUUAACUGGGCGUUAAGUUGCAGGGUAUAGACCCGAAACCCGGUGAUCUAGCCAUGGGCAGGUUGAAGGUUGGGUAACACUAACUGGAGGACCGAACCGACUAAUGUUGAAAAAUUAGCGGAUGACUUGUGGCUGGGGGUGAAAGGCCAAUCAAACCGGGAGAUAGCUGGUUCUCCCCGAAAGCUAUUUAGGUAGCGCCUCGUGAAUUCAUCUCCGGGGGUAGAGCACUGUUUCGGCAAGGGGGUCAUCCCGACUUACCAACCCGAUGCAAACUGCGAAUACCGGAGAAUGUUAUCACGGGAGACACACGGCGGGUGCUAACGUCCGUCGUGAAGAGGGAAACAACCCAGACCGCCAGCUAAGGUCCCAAAGUCAUGGUUAAGUGGGAAACGAUGUGGGAAGGCCCAGACAGCCAGGAUGUUGGCUUAGAAGCAGCCAUCAUUUAAAGAAAGCGUAAUAGCUCACUGGUCGAGUCGGCCUGCGCGGAAGAUGUAACGGGGCUAAACCAUGCACCGAAGCUGCGGCAGCGACACUGUGUGUUGUUGGGUAGGGGAGCGUUCUGUAAGCCUGUGAAGGUGUGCUGUGAGGCAUGCUGGAGGUAUCAGAAGUGCGAAUGCUGACAUAAGUAACGAUAAAGCGGGUGAAAAGCCCGCUCGCCGGAAGACCAAGGGUUCCUGUCCAACGUUAAUCGGGGCAGGGUGAGUCGACCCCUAAGGCGAGGCCGAAAGGCGUAGUCGAUGGGAAACAGGUUAAUAUUCCUGUACUUGGUGUUACUGCGAAGGGGGGACGGAGAAGGCUAUGUUGGCCGGGCGACGGUUGUCCCGGUUUAAGCGUGUAGGCUGGUUUUCCAGGCAAAUCCGGAAAAUCAAGGCUGAGGCGUGAUGACGAGGCACUACGGUGCUGAAGCAACAAAUGCCCUGCUUCCAGGAAAAGCCUCUAAGCAUCAGGUAACAUCAAAUCGUACCCCAAACCGACACAGGUGGUCAGGUAGAGAAUACCAAGGCGCUUGAGAGAACUCGGGUGAAGGAACUAGGCAAAAUGGUGCCGUAACUUCGGGAGAAGGCACGCUGAUAUGUAGGUGAAGUCCCUCGCGGAUGGAGCUGAAAUCAGUCGAAGAUACCAGCUGGCUGCAACUGUUUAUUAAAAACACAGCACUGUGCAAACACGAAAGUGGACGUAUACGGUGUGACGCCUGCCCGGUGCCGGAAGGUUAAUUGAUGGGGUCAGCGCAAGCGAAGCUCUUGAUCGAAGCCCCGGUAAACGGCGGCCGUAACUAUAACGGUCCUAAGGUAGCGAAAUUCCUUGUCGGGUAAGUUCCGACCUGCACGAAUGGCGUAAUGAUGGCCAGGCUGUCUCCACCCGAGACUCAGUGAAAUUGAACUCGCUGUGAAGAUGCAGUGUACCCGCGGCAAGACGGAAAGACCCCGUGAACCUUUACUAUAGCUUGACACUGAACAUUGAGCCUUGAUGUGUAGGAUAGGUGGGAGGCUUUGAAGUGUGGACGCCAGUCUGCAUGGAGCCGACCUUGAAAUACCACCCUUUAAUGUUUGAUGUUCUAACGUGGACCCGUGAUCCGGGUUGCGGACAGUGUCUGGUGGGUAGUUUGACUGGGGCGGUCUCCUCCUAAAGAGUAACGGAGGAGCACGAAGGUUGGCUAAUCCUGGUCGGACAUCAGGAGGUUAGUGCAAUGGCAUAAGCCAGCUUGACUGCGAGCGUGACGGCGCGAGCAGGUGCGAAAGCAGGUCAUAGUGAUCCGGUGGUUCUGAAUGGAAGGGCCAUCGCUCAACGGAUAAAAGGUACUCCGGGGAUAACAGGCUGAUACCGCCCAAGAGUUCAUAUCGACGGCGGUGUUUGGCACCUCGAUGUCGGCUCAUCACAUCCUGGGGCUGAAGUAGGUCCCAAGGGUAUGGCUGUUCGCCAUUUAAAGUGGUACGCGAGCUGGGUUUAGAACGUCGUGAGACAGUUCGGUCCCUAUCUGCCGUGGGCGCUGGAGAACUGAGGGGGGCUGCUCCUAGUACGAGAGGACCGGAGUGGACGCAUCACUGGUGUUCGGGUUGUCAUGCCAAUGGCACUGCCCGGUAGCUAAAUGCGGAAGAGAUAAGUGCUGAAAGCAUCUAAGCACGAAACUUGCCCCGAGAUGAGUUCUCCCUGACCCUUUAAGGGUCCUGAAGGAACGUUGAAGACGACGACGUUGAUAGGCCGGGUGUGUAAGCGCAGCGAUGCGUUGAGCUAACCGGUACUAAUGAACCGUGAGGCUUAACCUUACAACGCCGAAGGUGUUU
rnacentral:rRNA from 1 species